UUUUUAUUUUGUGUAAAACCAGACCAAUUUUAUUUCUUUUUUUAUGGAUCCGCCGGUCAUAUUUUGUCAAGAAUAAGAAUAAAAUAAAAGUUAACUUUCCCCAAUC